GACGAACGCUGGCGGCGUGCUUAACACAUGCAAGUCGAACGGUAAGGCCCUUCGGGGUACACGAGUGGCGAACGGGUGAGUAACACGUGGGUGAUCUGCCCUGCACUUUGGGAUAAGCCUGGGAAACUGGGUCUAAUACCGGAUAGGACCACGGCCUGCAUGGGUUGUGGUGGAAAGCUUUUGCGGUGUGGGAUGGGCCCGCGGCCUAUCAGCUUGUUGGUGGGGUGAUGGCCUACCAAGGCGACGACGGGUAGCCGGCCUGAGAGGGUGUCCGGCCACACUGGGACUGAGAUACGGCCCAGACUCCUACGGGAGGCAGCAGUGGGGAAUAUUGCACAAUGGGCGCAAGCCUGAUGCAGCGACGCCGCGUGGGGGAUGACGGCCUUCGGGUUGUAAACCUCUUUCACCAGGGACGAAGCGCAAGUGACGGUACCUGGAGAAGAAGCACCGGCCAACUACGUGCCAGCCGCCGCGGUAACAC
rnacentral:rRNA from 1 species